rnacentral:rRNA from 1 species
GAUGAACGCUGGCGGCGUGCCUAAUACAUGCAAGUCGAGCGAACGGACGAGAAGCUUGCUUCUCUGAUGUUAGCGGCGGACGGGUGAGUAACACGUGGAUAACCUACCUAUAAGACUGGGAUAACUUCGGGAAACCGGAGCUAAUACCGGAUAAUAUUUUGAACCGCAUGGUUCAAAAGUGAAAGACGGUCUUGCUGUCACUUAUAGAUGGAUCCGCGCUGCAUUAGCUAGUUGGUAAGGUAACGGCUUACCAAGGCAACGAUGCAUAGCCGACCUGAGAGGGUGGUUGCCCACACUGGAACUGAGACACGGUCCAGACUCCCAAGGGGGGGCGCAGGGGGGAAUGUUCCGCCAGGGGCGAAAGCCCGGCGGGGCAACCGCCGGGGAGGUGAUAAGGGCUUUCGGUCGGAAAACCUUUUUUUUUGGGAAAAAAAAAAGUGUAAGUUAACUUGCCCGCCUUGACCGUACCCAAUCAAAAAGCCCCCGCUAACCCCCUG